rnacentral:rRNA from 1 species
UAGGGCGGCACAGAGGGAAGCCAGGUGGCGGCACCGCGCGGACCCGAAAGCCGUUCUCAGUUCGGAUCGGAGUCUGCAACCCGACUCCGUGAAGCUGGAUUCGCUAGUAAUCGCGCAUCAGCCAUGGCGCGGUGAAUACGUUCCCGGGCCUUGUACACACCGCCCGUCAAGCCAUGGGAGCCGGGGGUGCUUGAAGUGCGUCGCCGCAAGGCGCGCCCUAGAGCAAAACCGGUGACUGGGGCUAAGUCGUAACAAGGUAAC